AUCGAACGCUGGCGGCAUGCCUUACACAUGCAAGUCGAACGGUAACGGGCCUCCGUUUGCCGAUGAGCGGCUAACGGGCGAGUAAUACAUCCGUACGUGCCCUACCGUGGGGUAUAACGUGGCGUCAGCUUUCCUAAUCUCCUAUCCGAUCUUCGCAUCUGCUCAGUGGAGCGCAAUGCCUUGUGCCGUCGGAUCGGCCGAUGGGCGCUUCGUUAGUUGGUGGGAUAGUAGCUUACCAUGCCGACGAGCUGUACCUGUACUGAGAGGAUGAUCGGCCACACUGGAACUGAGACACGGACCAGACGCCUAAGGGAGGCAGCAGUGGGGAAUGUUGGACAAUGGGCGCAAGCCUGAUCCAGCCAUGCCGCGUGUAGGAUGAAGGCCUUCGGGUUGUAAACUGCUUUUGUAGGGAACGAAAAGCCUUCUUUUAAUACAGGAGGGUAGUGACGGUACCGGAAGAAGAAGCACCGGCUAACUACGUG
rnacentral:rRNA from 1 species